ACCCGCUGAACUUAAGCAUAUCAAUAAGCGGAGGAAAAGAAACUAACAAGGAUUCCCCUAGUAACGGCGAGUGAAGAGGGAAAAGCUCAAAUUUUGAAUCUGGUGUCUUUGACUCCCGAGUUGUAAUCUAGAGAAGUGUUUUCCGUGUCGGACCGUGUACAAGUUCCCUGGAACGGGGCGUCAUAGAGGGUGAGAAUCCN
rnacentral:rRNA from 1 species